AACGAACGCUGGCGGCAGGCUUAACACAUGCAAGUCGAGCGCCCCGCAAGGGGAGCGGCAGACGGGUGAGUAACGCGUGGGAAUCUACCCAUCUCUACGGAAUAACGCAUGGAAACGUGUGCUAAUACCGUAUACGUCCUUCGGGAGAAAGAUUUAUCGGAGAUGGAUGAGCCCGCGUUGGAUUAGCUAGUUGGUGGGGUAAAGGCCUACCAAGGCGACGAUCCAUAGCUGGUCUGAGAGGAUGAUCAGCCACACUGGUGCUGAGACACGGCCCAGAAUCCUACGGGAGGCAGCAGUGGGGAAGAUUGGACAAUGGGCGCAAGCCUGAUCCAGCCAUGCCGCGUGAGUGAUGAAGGCCCUAGGGUUGUAAAGCUCUUUCACCGGUGAAGAUAAUGACGGUAACCGGAGAAGAAGCCCCGGCUAACUUCGUGCCAGCCGCCGCAGUAAAAC
rnacentral:rRNA from 1 species